rnacentral:rRNA from 1 species
UGGGAUUGGGAUACCUGCUCCAUGCUGUUAGCGGCGGACGGGUGAGUACACGUGGGUAACCUGCCUGUAGACUGAGGAUAACUCCGGGAAACCGGGGCUAAUACCGGAUGGUUGUUUGAACCGCAUGGUUCAGACAUAAAAGGUGGCUUCGGCUACCACUUACAGAUGGACCCGCGGCGCAUUAGCUAGUUGGUGAGGUAACGGCUCACCAAGGCGACGAUGCGUAGCCGACCUGAGAGGGUGAUCGGCCACACUGGGACUGAGACACGGCCCAGACUCCUACGGGAGGCAGCAGUAGGGAAUCUUCCGCAAUGGACGAAAGUCUGACGGAGCAACGCCGCGUGAGUGAUGAAGGUUUUCGGAUCGUAAAGCUCUGUUGUUAGGGAAGAACAAGUGCCGUUCAAAUAGGGCGGCACCUUGACGGUACCUAACCAGAAAGCCACGGCUAACUACGUGCCAGCAGCCGCGGUAAUACGUAGGUGGCAAGCGUUGUCCGGAAUUAUUGGGCGUAAAGGGCUCGCAGGCGGUUUCUUAAGUCUGAUGUGAAAGCCCCCGGCUCAACCGGGGAGGGUCAUUGGAAACUGGGGAACUUGAGUGCAGAAGAGGAGAGUGGAAUUCCACGUGUAGCGGUGAAAUGCGUAGAGAUGUGGAGGAACACCAGUGGCGAAGGCGACUCUCUGGUCUGUAACUGACGCUGAGGAGCGAAAGCGUGGGGAGCGAACAGGAUUAGAUACCCUGGUAGUCCACGCCGUAAACGAUGAGUGCUAAGUGUUAGGGGGUUUCCGCCCCUUAGUGCUGCAGCUAACGCAUUAAGCACUCCGCCUGGGGAGUACGGUCGCAAGACUGAAACUCAAAGGAAUUGACGGGGGCCCGCACAAGCGGUGGAGCAUGUGGUUUAAUUCGAAGCAACGCGAAGAACCUUACCAGGUCUUGACAUCCUCUGACAAUCCUAGAGAUAGGACGUCCCCUUCGGGGGCAGAGUGACAGGUGGUGCAUGGUUGUCGUCAGCUCGUGUCGUGAGAUGUUGGGUUAAGUCCCGCAACGAGCGCAACCCUUGAUCUUAGUUGCCAGCAUUCAGUUGGGCACUCUAAGGUGACUGCCGGUGACAAACCGGAGGAAGGUGGGGAUGACGUCAAAUCAUCAUGCCCCUUAUGACCUGGGCUACACACGUGCUACAAUGGACAGAACAAAGGGCAGCGAAACCGCGAGGUUAAGCCAAUCCCACAAAUCUGUUCUCAGUUCGGAUCGCAGUCUGCAACUCGACUGCGUGAAAGCUGGAAUCGCUAGUAAUUCGCGGAUCAGCAAGCCCGCGGGAAGCCGCCA